rnacentral:rRNA from 1 species
AUGGUGGCCUUCAGGUUCCAUCAGUACCAGGUGGUGGGUCGCGCGCUGCCGACGCCCGGCGAUGAGCAGCCGAAGAUCUACCGCAUGAAGCUCUGGGCGACCAACGAGGUGCGCGCCAAGAGCAAGUUCUGGUAUUUCCUGAGGAAGCUGAAGAAGGUGAAGAAGAGCAACGGCCAGAUGCUCGCCAUCAACGAGAUCUUUGAGAAGAACCCAACCACGAUCAAGAACUAUGGCAUUUGGCUGCGUUACCAGAGCAGAACCGGCUACCACAACAUGUACAAGGAGUACCGUGACACCACACUGAAUGGUGCCGUGGAGCAGAUGUACACUGAAAUGGCCUCUCGCCACCGUGUGAGAUCCCCCUGCAUUCAGAUCAUCAAGACCGCGACUGUCAACUUCAAGCUAUGCAAGAGAGACAACACCAAGCAGUUCCACAACUCCAAGAUCAAGUUCCCCCUUGUGUACCAAAAGGUCAGGCCACCAACCAGGAAGCUGAAGACCACCUACAAGGCGACGAGGCCGAACCUGUUCAUGUGA